CGCUUUGGCUGAAUUAGUGAUCGGCUAAGGCAUCGUUACACCGUAAAUUUAUGGAGUUUACUAUGUCACUAAGCAAUAAAGAAAAAGCAGAAAUCGUAGCAAAAUUUGCACGUGCAGAA
rfam:Pseudoalteromonas luteoviolacea B = ATCC 29581, WGS project CAPN01000000 data, contig: 5